GGGUUAUCGUUCCAAAAUGAAUGUGGCAGAAAAAGCCUGAGAUCCCCAACUCCAUUGCCACGCUACAUAGGUCGUUUAUGUUGAAUCAAUGGCGAUGAUUCGUCGUCGUUUGCCCUUCUCUUUUCCCCUUCUCCUCCUCCUCUCCCAGUUCGUCCAAUUCCAUUCCCUACCAUUUGCUCUAGCAUUCCACCCAAAUGAUACCCACAUCCUCCAGGUGCGUUCCUCAAAUUUCUUCUCUUUUUCUUUUUCUAAUUUCCUUAUCUUAACUUCCCAAUUGCUCUUAUCGGGAAAUGAAUUCGAUUUACCCAUUUCAGGGUGUUUUGAAAGAGAUAUCCCAAAGGCAAAAUUGGGACUUUGAAAGAAUAACAACUUCCAAAUUGCAAGUGAGCAAGGUUAGAUUUGGUACUGCUCAGAGAUAUGAAUUCCAGAUCCGAAUCGGGAAGAAUGACUUGGUUCUCAAAUUUCCUGACGAAGUGGGUUCUUGGAACAAGUUUAACAAAAAAAGGAAUGAUUUUGGAAAUUUUGUUAGGGAGAUUGGCUUCUCUGCUGUACUCGACACAUUCAAAGUGGAGGGUCCAUUUGAUUUGCGUGUCGGUGGCCAAGACGACCUCUCCUUGUUGUUGCCGGUAACUCAUAUUGCUUAUCUAUAUGCCCUUUUGUGUAGUUUCGAUCAAAUUUAAGAUAUUCUGAAUCUUUUAGAUCUAGGGUUGUAGCUAUUGCUUAAAUACUCUUUUUAUAUAGUAGCCAUGUAGCUGGAAAAUGUUCUGAAUGAAAGAAACUAAGCCCUGAGUUUAAUAUCAUUUAUAUAUUGUUGAAUUUUGCUUGCAUUUUUCUCUUUAUUAGUGUCCCGGUAGGAUUGACUAUUAAGUGAUAACUUUGGCUUGAGCAGCUUCCUGUUGCUCUGAUUUUGGGUUUGAGAAGCUGAUGGUUUUUAUUGGUACCAAAGAAUAUGAGUUUCUCAAGCAUUUCUUGGUAUCAAAAUGAAGUUACUUUUAUAGCAUUUCUUGAACAUCAUAAUUCUUCACUGAAUUAUUACAGGUAUGGGGAAAAAUGGCUUUCUAAGGCUGAAUAAUUAUACUAAAGGCAUAUGUAGUAAGGAAUGAGCCAACAUAUCAUACAUCAGUUCAAAUUGCCUUGCUUUACCUUUUCUCUGUUACUUCUAUUUAUGGUGAGGUGAUUUGAUUUUCUAGGAGUUAUGAUUAGUAGAUUACUGCACCAUUCCGUAGGAAUUAAAUGGAAAGAUAGUGAUUUUAAUGCUUUUAUGACUUCAUUUCUAUGUUGCAAUUAACAUCCAUUCCUUAAGAUUUCAACAUUCUGUGAAUUUCAGAAUACGUGUCUAUCUAUGGCAAGUGAAUUUUCAAUUCAGUUUCUUAUGUUCUUGUUGCUUGCUAUCAGCUGAAUGUUUCGCACAGCGGUUUGAAAAGGAUACUAGUGGGUGAAGGCGUCACAGUAGAAGUGAAAGGAGCUCAAGAACUCUCUCUUUUUCACACUUUUGACCAUAGUUUCAUAGUGAAUGGAAGUUUUAAGAUUAGCAAGGGAAAAACUGGUUUCUGCUCCUUUUGGCAGUCAUUGUGUAUGCCAUUACUUCCUAUACACGUUAUUGGGUCUGCAUCGCUGGUUGCAUACAGGACUAGAAAUUAUGAUGCGCCUGUUAAAACAACUUUAUUGUCUGAAGGGACAAUUGAAUUACUACCUGCAAAAUGCUACAGUAAUAAUGUGUAUAAGAACAAUGCUAGGCUCCAUCAUUCCUUGAGUUUGAAGAUCAACAUGCUAGGAAAAUCAUUGAGGAGCUUUCUUGGUAACAUAAUGAGACAAAAUUGGGUUUCAGGCUCUCUUAGAGCUAAUGCUAAAGCAUCAACUAUCAUUUGCUUUCAGUUGGAGAUAGAAAAGAAUGUUGGAAGAGAUGAAACUUUCGAUGAUGUGCUGGAAGACUGGAGAACAAAGCCAACAGUUGAACGGGUUUGGUUUGAAGUGAUGGCAAGAAUUGAAGCUGAGAAGUUGAGGGUCCUAAUGGUUAAAAAGGUCAGACCUUUUGUUGCACUAGAUUCAGUUUCAUGGAGUAAUUUAAUGUAUAAUAUUUCAUUUACAAAAAUCCCAUCUAUUCUUGUGCCUCCUGAGUCCCUAACACUGGAUGUGAAAUGGUAGGGCGGGACUCCUGUAUAUAGUUUUGAUUUGAGAAUAUUUUACAUAUCAAAACAAUGUACCUGUCAUUAUGUGCUGUCCCUUGCUUAAAUGGUGUCUAUACUGAUGUUGUGCAUAAUGUUAAAAAAUUUUCCAUCAUACAAGAGGAAGUGUUGCUUCUGUCCUUUUCUAUUGUUGCAGUUAUUUGACUAAUUUCCUACAAUGCCUUCCUUAAACAACACAGCGUCCUGCAAGGAAGAAAAAUCCUGAUACCAAAAUUGAAACUGAAAGACAAAAAAGGCCAACCUUGAAAAUUUUCCCAUCAAUUGAUCAGAUAGUGCUUGGAGGGAGGCCAGUGACAUUGAUUUAGCCAUCAAUUAUCUCUGGAUCGCGCUCCUUUCGUCCUUGAUGACCAUAGGCUCCAUUUCAGUUUCAGAAGCAGGUUUUGGUUGUCGUGAAAAUGUAAUAAAAGUUUCUAAAUGCAGUCAAGGUUUCCAUUUUUUUUUUAAUUUUUUUUUAAU
rnacentral:misc_RNA from 1 species